ACGGCGAGUGCAUCUAACGGCGCGGAGGGUUAUUACACCUCAUAAUCAUCUACAGCUCUACAGUACAGCAGUGGUCAUCGACUCUCUUCCCUGAAAUCUACUGUACCUUCCUGUAGGUUUCAUCACUGGAAUAAAGUUUGGUUGGACGUUCGAUAUUCGCGGAUAUGCGGAAAUAAACGGACCGUCUCUAAAGUCACAUACGACAUUGUUAUACACGUUUCUAACUUCAAUAGCAUUUGAAGGGAAUGACUUACAGUCACAAAACCAACUGGAAAGUGUUCAUCUGGGUGUCAGACAAUCCAAUGCUAUUUUCAAGUGGUGGUGAAUAACAGAGACCAGGGAAACAGGAUUUUUAUACUAGAUCACUACACAGCAAGUGUUAUACUUCAUGGAGAACGAGAUGAAGUACGGAGAAACAGUCUCUCAAAGGUGGACUUUGAUGACUACGAGGGAAUGAUAAGUUUCCUGAAUUUCAACGGGAAUCAUUGGAUAUUUUUGGUGAACACAUUUUAUAGUCCUUUUUUAAUAUACAUGGGACACUGUUAUAUUACACUAUUCUAUAGAGGAUGUUCAUAAUUUGGUUGGCUUGAAAAAUCACAUUGAAUAAAUGUUCAGAUGAGCCAAGACUAUUCAAACACCAACCAUCAAAAUUCAAAUAUAAACUAACCCGUAGCUGCGGGGGUUUCCUCCGGGUACUCCGGUCCAAAGACAUGCAUGGUAGGCUGAUUGGCAUGUCCAAAGUGUCCGUAGUGUAUGAAUGGGUGUGUGAAUAUGUAUGUGAGUGUGCCCUGCGAUGGAUUGGCACCCUGUCCAGGGUGUACCCCGCCUCGUGCCUGAUGUUCCCUGGGAUAGGCUCCAGGUUCCCCGUCACCCUGAAAAGCAUAAAGCGGUAUAGAAGAUGGAUGGAUGGACUAACCCGUACAAGGCCAUAUGCUUUUUACUGUGUCUACAUCACACACAAGAGUCUGGAACAGUUGAAUGUAUGAAUGAAUAAAUGAAUGAAUUCAUUAAUCCAUCCAUCCAUCCAUAAUUUUAACUUUCAGGCCAGACUUUUUCAAACCAACCUCAAAGUUUUUCUACAAAACUUUGUUUUGUAGUUUCAUUCUAGUUUCAUCUAUUUUUUUUUUAAUCUUACACAGUAUGUCCAUGCAGUAUCCAGCCAGGUGUUUGUGGUAGACUCAGCAGGACAUGAUGAAGAAGCAAAAUCCAUGCAUGCAGCCACUAGAUUUCAGUAACAUUUUUAGCUUGUUAUAUACUAUACUUACAAAGAUGGGUUACAAAUUAGAAAAAAGCAUGACUGUGUGAAGAGGCCCACUUCUUUUUGAUAUGUUUUCUUGUCACAAGGUAUUGAACGGUGAAUGAUAUGCUGUGUCCUUGUGUCCUUUUCUAUCACCGGAUCUUUAGUAAAUUAAACAAAAAAUGAGAUUUUGGACCAAACUGUCAGCGCGCUCCAGUAUCAUCUUGAAAAUGUAAAAAUUUAGAAAUAUAUUUUGAAAAAAUUAUGUUCUAUCCCUCCUGUUGGUGUUCCAGAGACUUGGCAUAGCUCUUGCAGAUCUCUGGAUCCUUAACAAUUAUUUUCGUAAGAAUAAAAUGACAGGCUUCAAGUCUUUUACAUUGUUUAAGUAUGCUAGUCUUCUCAUAAAGUUUUUUUUUAAAAAUGCUGUCAAAUCCUUACAAUAAUUUUACUUAUUAACUUUUACUAUAAGUAGCAAGCAAUUCACAAUAAUUGUUAAGUGUAAAGUGAGUGAGAUAUGUAAAGACAAUAAUUACCAUAUACUACAUAUAUAGGAAAUUAGUAGUAAUAGUAAUAAUGUUUUAAUGCUUAAUGUUAUUCUGUCAAUCAUUUUGAUUUGCUUAACACACUUUUUUCCAAACAUUUUGUGUUUUAAGCACUAAAGGAAAAUGAAUAAUGUUGCUUUUCUAAUAAUAUCAUUAUAUUUAUAUGGCCUGUAAAGAGAAUGAAGAGCACAAUGCAGAACAUUCAUUUAAACAAAGUGGGCCUCUUAAAUAAAAAAAGAUUCACAACAACAUUUAUUGUUUGGAUUUUGUACUAACAUUUGGUAAAAAUAUGGUUAAAAAGAUGAACCUUAAAGUAGUUUAAAUCACAUAAUGUGUUUUUAUUGGUUUUGGGGGCUUUUUUGCUUUAUUGGGGUAGGGAUAGUAGAGAAUUGACAAGGCAAUAUAGGAUAGAAGAGUGGGGGUGUGAUCGGGAAAAUACCCUAUGAGCUGGGAAACGAACCCUUCACGGUAGGAGAGAAGCAAUUGAUUUGUCACCUUUCUCUACAUUUAGAGAUAACACACCAUGUCUUCAUGGAGCUCGUUUUGUACACGGGGCAUUGUCAUGUUAGAAGUUCCCUAGUAAAGGGAAAUACAAAGACAAUCUAUAAAACUGUGUGCUUCCAAUUUUGUGGCAACAGUUUGAGGGAAGAACCGCAUGGUCAGGUUUCGACAUACUAGAGAAUAUAAAGCAGGGUUUAUCUAAAUGAUAUGGAAAACACUUUGCUUGCAUAGUUCAUUAGUUCAUAUUUCUAAAUUUCACCAAGCACCAAGUCUUUUGCUUUACCAUUAAACAGGAUGGUGUAGUCGGUAUCUAGGCAUGGGUUUCUUUUCUCUCGGGGUAUGUGUCGUUGAAGCCUGAUGUUCGUUGCCAUACUCUGUAUUGUGGAACAUAAUAAUGUGAUGCUAGACUCAUGAUGCAACUUCAAAAAUACAACACAAUAAACCCAGUACAAACUACCUACACAACAACAAUACAAUAUGAAGAAACAGAUGUUUAGAGCUAUUGAUGUUUAAACAAUCAAUCAAACAGGACACACCUGCGUAACAAGAAACAUGUCAUUCCUGUGUUCCAAUGUUUUUGCUC